CAGAAACAAUAAAGACGAUUCUUCCAUUGUAAGAUCGUUUAUUUCGGAAUUUAUAGUUUAGAAUGUCGUAGGAUUGCUAGUUAUUUAGCAACAGAUAUACCACAAAUUACACACUCCAUCUGUCCUAGUUUGGAGUGCAAUAAGCUGUCCUCGGCGCCAGGUAGGUAUUAAUCCAUCAAUCGGCACAAAUUUUAGACCCGGAAAGUGGUGGAUGGACAAGAUAGACGAUGACCUAAGAAACAAGACUGACGAAGUAGCAAUGGUGUUUACAGAGGAGUGGCGAAAAAAUAGAAAAACGUCGAGGUCGUUAAUCCACGACCCAACCCAGGCUUCACUAUAUUAUUAAGGACGAAGAAGUACGAAUUUCGUUAUUUGGACGAUUUCGUCAGUUUCAUUACAACACAUCCUUACAAACACUCCUCGCUUUAACAUUCACAAUUGAACCAUUAUCUAGUUUGUUCGUUGCAUCCAAUUGUUUACAUAUCACGCUUCGUUACCGUAAACGACACCGUCACAUAACACCCGAAAUCUUCCCGAAAUCAAACCCCUACAAGAUCCUCGUUUUGGAAAGUGGAAACGUCACUCGAUAUUUUCGAGUGAGCUCUGGUACACUGGAUGUACAGUACAUACACUAGAGUUGUCUUAAUCUUCUCUGUGGAACUUUGUCAACACAGAGGGUAAAGAACUGACGGAUGAUUCCUUUAAUCUAAUUUUAUGGUAAACAAGAAAGCCGCUCGUCUUAUUUAAAAAAAAAAAUGUUCUUCGUAAAUAAAAUAGUUGUGAACUUUAUUCCAACAAUGCUAAAUAUAAAUAAAUUAUAACUCCACAAUGAAGCAAUUAAACUUUGAGAUAUAAUUUAUAUAUUUGAGAGAUUUUUAUAAUUAUUUUAUUAAUUAUUAUAUUAUAUAACUAGCAGGUAAGUCCGUCAUUGCCUGGGCAAGAAAUAAGAACAAACAUUAAGAUUAUUAGAUUAUUCCGCACUUGUAAUCCUUCUAUUAUAUCAUAUUUUAGUACUUGAUUUAUAUAACUAGAAAGGAUAUCUUACAUAAGGGUGACCAA